rnacentral:lncRNA from 1 species
UUCCUUUGUUGCUUUCCUUAGAUAAAAGAGAGAUGAAAGAAAAUGUCCUUGAAGAGAGACUCAACCUAGCUUGAACCAUGGGUAUUUAACAUUUUGCCAUCGUUACUAAUGGCGCUCCAUCAAAUGUUAGUUUUUGAAUGACAUCCAUAUUUAUCAUCGGAGAGAGUGAAACUUACCUAACUUUAUGCUAUUUUACUGAGAUAACACGGCACAUAGGCGUGCUAGUGUGGAUGUGAGGAUGUGAAAAGUAUCAAAAAAAUCACUAAAAAGGUAUGCAAAAAACAAGAUCCACCAUAUCAUGCACAAGACACGUGGGGCAACAUGGUCCUAUCUAGUUGUUAUUAAUAAUUUAAAUGCCACCAACAAGUAAUGAAUGUAUGAAAUAGAACCUGAUUUAUUAAAUAAACUCACAUUAAGACCCUACAAAAUAAUCAAGAUCGAUAAAAGUUAGUUCUUCAAGACUUGAAGACUUUUCACUCAACUUUUUCGAGUUAAGCGGAAACUAAGAGGCUACACCGAUUAGAUGCACUAUUUAUGCAUGCAGGAUAAAGAUAAAAAAAUAUAAAGAUUCUUUCGAUAGUUCCAUGGAUUAUGUGGAACCACUCAGUGGGAUGCAUUGUUACAUCAUGAUGGCACAUAAAUAGAAUACAUAAUUGAAACAAUAUCAAAAAUUUCUCGGCAAGAUGUUUGCUUGAAUCUAAGCCUUAUCCAACUAUAGGAGACAAAUGACUAGUGUUGAUGUUGAAUUCAUUUCUCAUUUGAAAAUUUGGAUAGAGAAAUAACUAAAAUAAAAGUU